rnacentral:rRNA from 1 species
UUACCAGGCCUUGACAUGCAGAGAACUUCCAGAGAUGGAGUUGGUUGCCUUCGGGAACUCUGACACAGGUGCUGCAUGGCUGCCGUCAGCUCGUGUCGUGAGAUGUUGGGUUAAGUCCGUAACGAGCGCAACCCUUGUCCUUAGUUACCAGCACGUUAUGGUGGGCACUCUAAGGAGACUGCCGGUGACAAACCGGAGGAAGGUGGGGAUGACGUCAAGUCAUCAUGGCCCUUACGGCCUGGGCUACACACGUGCUACAAUGGUCGGUACAAAGGGUUGCCAAGCCGCGAGGUGGAGCUAAUCCCAUAAAACCGAUCGUAGUCCGGAUCGCAGUCUGCAACUCGACUGCGUGAAGUCGGAAUCGCUAGUAAUCGUGAAUCAGAAUGUCACGGUGAAUACGUUCCCGGGCCUU